UCAGAAUGAACGCUUGGCGGCAUGGAUUAGGCAUGCAAGUCGAACGGUAGACAUUNUCUUCGGAGAUGUUGAGAGUGGCGAAAGGGUGAGUAACGCGUGAGCAAUCUGCCCCCGAGACGGAGAUACGGCGGGAAACCGGGAUUAAUAUCCGAUAUGGAUGCGCCCCGCAUGAGGCGCGGUCCAAAGUUUUUCGCUCGGGGAUGAGCUCGCGUCCCAUUAGCUAGUUGGUGAGGUAACGGCCCACCAAGGCGAAGACGGGUAGCUGGUCUGAGAGGAUGACCAGCCACACUGGGACUGAGACACUGCCCAGACUCCUACGGGAGGCUGCAGUCGAGAAUCUUCCGCAAUGGGCGCAAGCCUGACGGAGCAAUGCCGCGUGAGGGAUGAAGGCCUUCGGGUCGUAAACCUCUGUCAGAGGGGACGAAUAUUUGACGGUACCCUCAGAGGAAGCCACGGCUAACUACGUGCCAGCAGCCGCGGUAAUACGUAGGUGGCGAGCGUUAUUCGGAUUUACUGGGCGUAAAGGGUCCGCAGGGGGUCUGCCAAGUCCGGUGUGAAAAGCCGCGGCUCAACCGCGGUCGUGCAUUGGAUACUGGCGGACUCGAGUACAUGAGGGGAAAGCAGAAUUCCUGGUGUAGCGGUGGAAUGCGUAGAUAUCAGGAAGAAUACCGGCGGCGAAGGCGGCUUUCUGGCAUGUUACUGACCCUGAGGGACGAAAGCGUGGGUAGCGAACAGGAUUAGAUACCCUGGUAGUCCACGCCGUAAACGUUGUGCGCUCGAUGUGGGAUCUGUCGUUUCGGCGGGUUCCGUGUCCAAGCUAACGCGUUAAGCGCACCGCCUGGGGACUACGGUCGCAAGGCUAAAACUCAAAGGAAUUGACGGGGGCCCGCACAAGCGGUGGAGCAUGUGGCUUAAUUCGAGGCAACGCGAAGAACCUUACCUGGGUUUGACAUUGCGUGACCGGUGUGGAGACACACCUCUCCUUCGGGACACAAAAACAGGUGCUGCAUGGCUGUCGUCAGCUCGUGCCGUGAGGUGUUCGGUUAAGUCCGGCAACGAGCGCAACCCGUGUCGUCAGUUGCCAGCAGGUAAUGCUGGGCACUCUGGCGAGACUGCCCGUGUCAAGCGGGAGGAAGGCGCGGAUGACGUCAAGUCCGUAUGGCCCUUACAUCCAGGGCUGCACACGUGCUACAAUGGGCGGUACAGUGGGAAGCAAUACCGCGAGGUGGAGCAAAUCCUCAAAACCGCCCCCAGUUCGGAUUGGAGUCUGCAACUCGACUCCAUGAAGUUGGAAUCGCUACUAAAGGCGUAUCAGCAACGACGCCUUGAAUACGUUCCCGGGCAUUGUACACACCGCCCGUCACAUCAUGGAAGCCGGUUGCACCCGAAGC
rnacentral:rRNA from 1 species